rnacentral:rRNA from 1 species
UACGAAGGGGGCUAGCGUUGCUCGGAAUUACUGGGCGUAAAGGGCCCGUAGGCGGCCAACUACGUCCGACGUGAAAUCCCCAGGCUUAACCUGGGAACUGCGUCGGAUACUGGAUGGCUUGAAUUCGGGAGAGGGAUGCAGAAUUCCAGGUGUAGCGGUGAAAUGCGUAGAUAUCUGGAGGAAUACCGGUGGCGAAGGCGGCAUCCUGGACCGAGAUUGACGCUGAACGGCGAAAGCUAGGGGAGCAAACGGG